rnacentral:rRNA from 1 species
GACGCUGGCGGCAGGCUUAACACAUGCAAGUCGAGCGGAGUGAUGGUGCUUGCACUAUCACUUAGCGGCGGACGGGUGAGUAAUGCUUAGGAAUCUGCCAUUUAGUGGGGGACAACAUUCCGAAAGGAAUGCUAAUACCGCAUACGUCCUACGGGAGAAAGCAGGGGAUCUUCGGACCUUGCGCUAAAUGAUGAGCCUAAGUCGGAUUAGCUAGUUGGUGGGGUAAAGGCCUACCAAGGCGACGAUCUGUAGCGGGUCUGAGAGGAUGAUCCGCCACACUGGGACUGAGACACGGCCCAGACUCCUACGGGAGGCAGCAGUGGGGAAUAUUGGACAAUGGGCGGAAGCCUGAUCCAGCCAUGCCGCGUGUGUGAAGAAGGCCUUUUGGUUGUAAAGCACUUUAAGCGAGGAGGAGGCUACUAGUACUAAUACUACUGGAUAGUGGACGUUACUCGCAGAAUAAGCACCGGCUAACUCUGUGCCAGCCGCCGCGGUAA